CCCGCGCUGGUCUCAGCGGGGGUUUGCCAGCGGCUGGCGGCCUCUGGGCCCCAGGACUUUAGAUGAGAGAUGUCGUGUGCUUUUGUGGGGGUGUGUCCCUGCCCAAAAACACUUCUGCACCGACAGUGCUGCCCGAAAGGCCACGUUAGGGUCCCCACCCUGCAAAGCCUCAGCACUUGCUUACUUUUAAGCGCACGGAUAGUCACUCAGUGUGUCAUUAAAAUUAAGCGUGUGCAAAAGUGCUUGCAAGAUACUUGCUACUAGGGUGACCAGAUGAUGGUUUUAUAGGGACGGUCACAAUUUUGGGGGCUUUUUCUUAUAUAGGUACCUAUUAUCCCCCACCCCCUAUCCUGAUUUUUCACGUUUGCUACCUCGUCACACUACUUGCUACUGCUAGUUGUAUUUUACAGCUAUGUACUUUUUAAAAUCAGGAUUAAUAUUUUUUUAGUCGCUCGAUAGCAACCACUAAAAAGAAAAUAAUUCUACCCUGGAAAGGUAAAUAUAAACUGGCCAUUUCAACAUUUUUAAGCCCUCUUUAAAAAUGGUUCUGCACUUGGUAAAGAAGGAACUUUCUGUUUUUUUGAUUGGUUGGAUUGGUUUGCUGUUGGUUGUUUGGUUUUUUUGUUUUUUAAAUCAAGGAUCAUUUUUUUUAGUGGUGCCUAGUCCUGAAUUAUUUGUGCACAGAAAACUCCAACUUCUGCUCCAUUGACUGAUGGUGAUUUUAGGUGCUCAAGGCAAACAAGAUCAGAACCUUUUGUCUGAAAAUGGUAGCNUUUAGGUGCUCAAGGCAAACAAGAUCAGAACCUUUUGUCUGAAAAUGGUAGCAGUGGGAUUUGUUGAAGAGUUGAAGGAGCUUGCAAACUUGCCUAACUUUUUGUAGAAUACACCUGUUGGAUGACUAAAUGGCUCCAAAAGGCAAAAUAAAAAAAAAGAAAUACAAGUGCUGCCCUUGUUUGUCAUCACCAUCUUUGCAGGAAGAUGCCGCUGGAGAGCAGCUGACACAGUUUGAAUCAGAUGAAGAAAUUAAACUUUUAUAUCAGUUUGGAAGCUAUCUUGAUUACAUAGAAACUCCCCGAAAAGAUCAUGGCAAAGUGAAAGGCAAAUCCAAAAAGCAUGGAAGAGAAUGGAAGACACAGGAAACCGAAAGGAAAAAUAAGCCUGAUCUUUGCAAUGGAAAGGAAAAUGUGGGUUUGUGUGAAGAAAACACUGCCAAUGACACUGAUCUUAAAAAGAAUAAAAUUCUUAAAAAGAACAAACAUGAUACUAAAGCAAAAAGUUAUUUGGAUUCAACAAAAAAAACCUUUUGCAAUAAGCAAAACUCCUUUGUCCCCUGGCCUUUUGUUGAAAAGAAAGCAAAGAAAAUAAAGCUACUUCAAGAUAACAAAGUAAUUGAUGGUAAUGAAGAGAGCUCUAAAGAGGUAAAUCACAAACAAUAUUAUAAAAAUUCUAGAAUAGUACAGAAGAGUAAUACUCAAGUCAAACAAAAACAUCUCUGCCUUCCCUCAUCACAUACUUCUUUUGUAACUGAGAAUGGUAAACAUAAUGAAUUAAGUUGUAGAAAUAGUUCUUGGUCUCAGACAACUUGCAAACGUGAAGGUCUUGAUUCUACUGUGCAUUAUUUUAGUGGUGGAAUCAUAGCAGGUUUUAAAAAGCGCAGGAAAUUGGAUAAGGAAGUCCCUGUUGGCUGUUUACUAGGCUCCAACACUACUGAAAUAAACAGCUGUACUAGUAGUACAGAGCCUCUUUUGUCAUCUAGUCCAGCAGCUCUGGAAAUUAAAACUUAUGACUCAGAAGAUGAAUUCAAUGUGGAAACCCUGAGGGAUAAGGCAGCUUCUCAUAUGAACUCAAAAACUGAAGCAAUAUGCAGCAGCACUGAUCUUAGUCAAGAGCUUUUUAUAACCCAGAAGUCUUUUUUACCAGUGCAGAUUCCCAGUAAUAGCAGUACUUGCUUAUCCCUCUACAGUCAAAACCAUGCUAAAGAUGCAAGUGUAGAAAGAAGGUUUAAACAAAAAAUCUCUGGAGAUACUUUGGAGUUUUCUCAGAUGUCUUCAAAUAGAGAAACAUGUGAUGAACACAGUCAGUUUUCUCAGAAUGGUUUGACACCAAGUAGGGGUAGAAAGUCAGCUACAAGAGAGUGUGCAAUUCAGACAGAAGACUUUUUCAGCUCUCCAGCACUUGCUUCCUCCUUAAGAAUGAGAGAGAGAUUUACAGAUUGCCGUGAACAACCACUGGACCUCAGUUUGCCUUACAGAAUUAGGUCAAGUGCUGAGAAUACAGGAAGACCAUCCUUGGGGGGUGCAGGUGAUGGUGUUCAUGUAUCUUGCAAACACACAUUAGAGCCUGUGUGUUAUAUGGAAAAUCAUCCUGCUGGUCCAGUGUUUGAGGAGGAAAGAGAAAAUCAUAUGUUCACUCAAUCUCAAAAAUCAGAUGAGGUGAAAUACAUUCAGAUGCUGCUUAAUUCAUCCUAUUUCUUUAAAGUGAAAGGUGAUUCAGAUAAUAUGGUUUCUAGAACACAGUUAGUGAAGCCAAAGAUAGGAAACAAAAAAAAAACAGUUGUAGACAGCAGAAGACAGGAGAAGUCCUAGCUGAGAAGGGAUUAGUCCUACACAUCUGAAUAAAUAGUGUGCCUAUAGACA
ensembl:lncRNA